rnacentral:rRNA from 1 species
ACUCACGCGGGAAUCUUACCGGGUCCGGACACACUGAGGAUUGACAGACAAAUACACACACUUUUACGGUGUGUGCAUGAAAUAUGCUAGUUCUUUCAUGAUUAUGUGAUAGGUGGUGCAUGGCCGUUCUUAGUUCGUGGAGUGAUCUGUCUGCUUAAUUGCGUUUCACUAAAGGCACAUACACAUAAUAUUGAUGUGUUGUGUAUAAUUUAUAAUUAUAUCGCAUACACACAUAUUAUAUUGUGCUUUGAAAGCAACGAACGUGACCGCAACCUCUUGUUGCCUGUAUAUAUGUGUAUUUUAUACACACCACAGGCUAUUAUAAACUAGAGGGACCGCUGUUACUUUCUUUUAAACC